GCCAGCAUAGUGAAGUGGUUUGGGUGUUAGGCUAGGACUCUGGAGACCAGGGUUCAAUUCCCUGCUUGGACA